rnacentral:rRNA from 1 species
GAUGAACGCUGGCGGCGUGCCUAAUACAUGCAAGUCGAACGCAUAGCGAAAGGUGCUUGCACCUUUCAAGUGAGUGGCGAACGGGCGAGUAACACGUGGACAACCUGCCUCAAGGCUGGGGAUAACAUUUGGAAACAGAUGCUAAUACCGAAUAAAACUUAGUGUCGCAUGACACAAAGUUAAAAGGCGCUUCGGCGUCACCUAGAGAUGGAUCCGCGGUGCAUUAGUUAGUUGGUGGGGUAAAGGCCUACCAAGACAAUGAUGCAUAGCCGAGUUGAGAGACUGAUCGGCCACAUUGGGACUGAGACACGGCCCAAACUCCUACGGGAGGCUGCAGUAGGGAAUCUUCCACAAUGGGCGAAAGCCUGAUGGAGCAACGCCGCGUGUGUGAUGAAGGCUUUCGGGUCGUAAAGCACUGUUGUAUGGGAAGAACAGCUAGAAUAGGAAAUGAUUUUAGUUUGACGGUACCAUACCAGAAAGGGACGGCUAAAUACGUG